UGAGAUUAGAUAAGAUUACCCGCCGAAUUUAAGCAUAUUAAUAAGCGGAGGAAAAGAAAACAACUGUGAUUCCCUUAGUAAUGGCGAAUGAAACGGGAACAGGGCAUCGCGGAACUGCAGGUCAUCUUGGCCUCGCGGAAUGUCGCGUUCGGGAGAGUCUUCUCGAGGACCGGACGGCCAGUCAAAGUCCAACUUGACAGUGGCCACUGCCCAUAGAGGGUGAUAGGCCCGUAAGGCGGCUGUCCGUUUUCGCUGACUUUUUCCCUAGAGUCGGGUUGCUUGGGAGUGCAGCCCAAAGUGCGAGGUAAACUCCUCGUAACCCUAAAUAUGACCCCGAGACCGAUAGCAAACAAGUACGGUGACGGAAGAUUGAAAAGAACUUUGAAGAGAGAGUUCAAUAGUACGUGAAACUGUGUGGUGGUAAACGGAGGGGUUCUCGAAGUUUCUGUGGGGAACUCAGCCUUGGUGUCGCGUGGCCCUGUUGUAUCUGAUCAGCAAUGACAGUGCAGCUUGUCCGACGUGUCUCUCGGGUGCAUUUCCCCCGCAGUUUACGGCAGGAACUGUUUGGAGCGCACCGAAGGCCUCGGGUGAAGUUGUUGGUUCUGCUGGCAGCCCUGGGUGUCCUGGCUUCGCACCAGACAGGUACGUGAGAGGACUCGUAUAGCGAGCAAUGCUCUGUUGCGGUUCUCAUCUCUCUGCCGAGUAGGUCGGCGGCCCCUCCGACCCGUCUUGAAACACGGACCAAGGAGUCUAACAUGUAUGCGAGCCAUUGAGUUGACUAAACUUAGAGGCGCAGUGAAAGCAAAGAGUAGCUUGUCUGCUCGAGGGAGGAUCCGCAAGGCGCACUCCCGCGACUUCCAAUCGACCUCGCAUCGUUGGGAGUACGCAGAGCAUAAAUGUUGGGACCCGAAAGAUGGUGAACUAUGCCUGGCCAGGUUGAAGUCAGGGGAAACCCUGAUGGAGGACCGUAGCGAUUCUGACGUGCAAAUCGAUCGUCGGAGCUGGGCAUAGGGGCGAAAGACUAAUCGAACCAUCUAGUAGCUGGUUCCUGCCGAAGUUUCCCUCAGGAUAGCUGGUGCUCAUUACGAGUUUCAUCCGGUAAAGAGAAUGAUUAGAAGCCUUGGGGGCGAAACGCCCUCAACUUAUUCUCAAACUUUAAAUGGGUGAGAAGUCUGUCUUGCUUGAGUGAAGUCAGACACUGAAUCGGAGUGCCUAGUGGGCCAUUUUUGGUAAGCAGAACUGGCGCUGUGGGAUGAACCAAACGCGGGGUUAAAGUGCCAAAGUAGAAGCUCAUCAGAUCCCACGAAAGGUGUUGGUUGCUUAUAACAGCAGGACGGUGGCCAUGGAAGUCGGAAUCCGCUAAGGAGUGUGUAACAACUCACCUGCCGAAGCAACUAGCCCUGAAAAUGGAUGGCGCUAAAGCUUCUCACUUAUACCCCGCCGUUCAGUUAGAACCGAGCUUCUAGCUCUUGACAACUGAACGAGUAGGCAGGUCGCACCGGUGGCGCGGAAGGCUCUGGGUGUGAACCUGGCUGGAGCCGCCGGUGGUGCAGAUCUUGGUGGUAGUAGCAAAUACUCCAGAGAGGCCCUGGAGGACCGAUGUGGAGAAGGGUUUCGUGUGAACAGCUGUUGGACACGAGUCAGUCGAUCCUAAGGCUUAGGGGAAACCUUAUACAAUAGAGCGGUGUUUUCUUAUUGAAGACCGCAUCUACAGCCGAAAGGGAAUGAGGUCCUUAUUCCUCAACCUGAUAGCGGAACCGAUCCGGCCCUCGUACCGACACGGCAACGUGAAAUGAGCCUGAGACGUCCGCCCGAGCUCUGGGAAGAGUUGUCUUUUCUGCAUAAGCCGCCGAGGCCCUGGAAUUCCUUCGAGGAGAGAAUGGGUUUUGGUCUAGGCAAAGAGCGCAGCAGUUCUCGCUGUGUCCAUGAGUGACGGGUGGAACCUUGAAAAUCAGGCUGAGGGUUACGGCGGAGUCGCAUCAGCUCGUACCCAUAUCCGCAGCAGGUCUCCUAGGUGAAUAGCCUCUGGUCGAUAGAAUAAUGUAGGUAAGGGAAGUCGGCAAAUUGGAUCCGUAACUUCGGGAUAAGGAUUGGCUCUGAGGGUCGGGGUGUUUGGGCUUUGUGCUGGAAGCGGGUUGGCCUACCGGUGGGCCUGGCCGAACCCUUGGGUGAAGUCGGUCCCGUUUCACAGGCUCCCGUGGAUAGCCAUUGCUUUGCGGGCCCGGGCAACCGGUGUCUCGUUCAAACAUCGAUCAACGACUAACUCAGAACUGGCACGGACUAGGGGAAUCCGACUGUCUAAUUAAAACAAAGCAUUGCGAUGGUCAGAGAUUGAUGUUGACGCAAUGUGAUUUCUGCCCAGUGCUCUGAAUGUCAAAGUGAAGAGGUUCGUCCAAGCGCGGGUAAACGGCGGGAGUAACUAUGACUCUCUUAAGGUAGCCAAAUGCCUCGCCAUCUAAUUAGUGGCGCGCAUGAAUGGAUUAACGAGAUUCCCACUGUC
rnacentral:rRNA from 1 species